rnacentral:misc_RNA from 1 species
AAACCUUGGUUUCUCCAAUUCCCAAAUCCAGUCUGCUGCGCGUCGAUCACCCCCAAUUCUCUUCGCUAAUCUUGACAACACCCUUAAACCAAAAAGUAAGCUUUUUCAGGAUUUGGGUCCUUUGGGUUAUGACCUGGGUAAGUUCAUUUCCAAGAGUCCCCAUUUUUAACUGCAAGUUUGAAGAAAAAGUUGGUUCCUUGUAUUGAAAUCUUGAAGAAACAUUUGUUGAAUGAUAAGGAUAAUGAGGUUUUGCUGAAGGUUGUAAGUAGGUACUUUUGGAUUGUUCCCCACAAAAACCCUGAAUCGAGAUUGUUAUCCUGCGUAGCCUACUUUGAUAGUUGUGGGAUAGUUGGGUCUCAGAUCUCUGUGCUGUUAAUUACGCGGCCUCGGCUUCUUCUGUGCCUAGAAUACUUGCUUAGAGACUUUGUUUCUCGAACUUUGAAUAUGGGAUUCUCAGCCAAUUCGAGGAUGACAGUUCAUGGUUUAAUUGCUGUUCUUGCUCAAGUGACAAGACAAUCGAGAGAAACUAUGGAAUUUUUAGGAGUUUUCCGAGUAUCAAUGCAGAAAAAUAUUUAGAAAGGCUCCAUAUUAGUUUGCUAACAACCUCUGCGGAGAAGUUGAAGUUGGGAAUUAAUUUCUGUUUGAGCACAAUGAAGUUUAAAAAGUUGACAAUAGUUUGAAACUCUGUAAUUUUGAUGCCGAGAAUGGAAGAAAGGGUUAUUCCUCCAGUCAGAGUGUUGGAGAUAUUGAAAUCAAAGAAAUUAAUUAAGAAGGAACCAAGCUUUAUUAAGGCGUUCUUUGUGACAGAGAAGGUGUUUGUGCAGAAGUUUAUAUCAAGUUUUCCAGAUGAUGCAGGGGAAUUGUUGUUAGCUUGCCAAGGUCGUAACCUGGCGUCAUCUUCAAAAUAAUGAAAUUAUUUUUAUUGGAUUUGUAAUGUUUCUCAUUAAAAAUUAGUUUAUUGGCUGCAACUUUCUUGUACUUAAACAGCCUAGAAGGUAACGUGCUUUGGGCCAGCUUAACAUUGGCUGCAGUUGACUGCAUCUUAAUAUGAGUGGUUUUUCUCCAGUAAGCUUCACAAAUCUGAAUCUGUCGGUAAUAGAUAUAAGAGAUUUUGCUUGGAGGAUGCAUGGUGCUGUUAAUUACUGCAGUUUAUC